AAAAAAGAGGGUGACAUUUGGAAAAUUUUAGAAAAUUCAGGGGUUGGCAGCACUACUCAUCCCACUCAUUUGGGUACUGACCAGAAAAUGGCUUACAAGCCAAAUGGUGCGCGCAGAUAGGGAUCCUGGCUGGGGGUCCCAACACAUCCAGACAAUUCGAUAAUCCGCAGCACUCGCCGGUAAA